UCUAAAGCAGGAGAGGCAGAACCUUGCCCAUGAAGCCAUCCGACUUCACCGCAAUAUGCCAGAAGUUCCUGGAUCGGCUGACGACGACCAAAGGGUUUUAGAUUCGGCCGAUCAGAUCCGGUAGCGAGCGAUCGUGGCCAUUAAUACUCUCCUCGGGUUAACGUAACAGACACUGAAUGCUUUUGUACAAACACUUAAUGCUCUUUUGCUAUUGCCGUGCGAAUUCAAACUUGGACGGUCUUCUCUUGCAGCUUUUCAUUUAAUAGUCCUUUACUCCGAUGGGACACAUUUUACCAAUUGUUACCCUUCAUCUUCUUCUUCUAUAAGUAUGAGACCCCCGUAAUUCUUCUAGGGGCAUUCGCACCUUGCCCAGCCUUCCAUUCUUAAGUUGUCUUAUUUCCAUACCCUUAAGUCAGGUGCCGAGAUGUCUUCCUCUUCCUCCAUCAAUUAGAUAUGAAAUCCCCCUUCGUUCCUCUGCCCGACGCCCAUUGAUCUUAUGACGGGUGAUUGUUUGUUAUCUUCCCAGUCGAGACGCCUUAACCCUGGCCUGGAACGGGCUAUUAAGAUUAUGCACUCCGAGGAACCGCUGACGCAGGUGGACAAAGAUCUGAUAGAGGCCCAUCGCGAAGAACUCAAAGAUCACAUCCCUGCCCAUAUACAGAAGAUCUUGGAUCAUAUUGAAGCCAACUGUUCCAGGUGGCUGCCGAUCGAGAAAAGC
rnacentral:lncRNA from 1 species